ensembl:lncRNA
CAGAUGGUAAAGCAUCUGUCUAGAAUGUGGGAGACCCGGGUUUGAUCCCUGGGUUGGGAAGAUCCCCUGGAGAAGGCAAUGGCAACCCACUCCAGUACUCUUGCCUGGAAAAUCCCAUAGACCGAGGAGCCUGGUAGGCUACAGUCCAUGGGGUCACAAAGAGUCGGAUACGACUGAGCGACUUCACUUCACUUCUAAGGGGCCCAGCCUGUAGCAUAUUUUCUUGAGGGUGGUUUGUAGACAAAGUUUUCACACAGUGUGGGGUGGAGGUGAUGUCCUUCAGCAGGUCGUCUGAGGACACUGGGUCCCGAGAUCCCUCUCAGGAGCAGAGGCAGAGAAAAUAGAGGGCCAGGCUGAAUUCCCAAGGGGAUGCUUAAAGAGGAGCACCCCUCUCUCCUUGAAAGCUGAGAAGUGACCACAGGAUGGUCAGGGGUCUUCUCUUUGAAGGUGCUUCCCUAAACAGGUUCACCAGUUGUCAGUCCCUGUCAGGAUACAAGAAUAGAACAGGACAGGGUGAAGAGACAGAGCAGAGGCCUUGAAGUCCCCACAGAAGAGCCGGGUUGGGGAGAGGUGGCUAAAUCCCAGGACAUGACAUGUCCUAAAUCCCAGGACAUGACAACUCUGAGGGGUCUUAGAGGGGACAUUCCCAGCCCCCUCCUGUCACAGAGCAAGAGAUGCCCCAGGGGGUGAACCUGUCCUGGGUCACACAGGGCAGAGCCACACCUGGCACCAGGGCUGCGGGCUCCCAGCCCAGAGCUUCUCCCCUGCAGGAGCUCCCACCAGCUCCCCACCCUGUUUCUGACCUCCCCAGGGGCUUCUCUUCCAGCACUGCUGUCUCAUCACCAGGAUCUGAGAAGCUCCUGGAGGCUCAUCCUCCAACUUGCCUAUCCUGGGAAAAGGGAAGGAAAGAACUUAGAGGGGUUUAGCAGAACAGGGGCUUCUGGCCAGCUGAGGGUUAAACAACAGUCCAGCCAGACUCCCCACUUGCUGAAAAGGAGGGAACCAGGGAGAGAGGCGGCUCGGUCCUCAGGCUUCAGGGAGACCCACCCAGGUGCUGACAGUGAGCACCAGCUGCGGUGAAGUUUAAAGAAGACUUAGAGAAGAAAGGCAAAGCGCUCAGAUCUACAAAGAUGCUAAUCUUUAAAGAGGAAGAAAAAAAAGGAACCUCUGAACUCAUGCAUCAGAUCCGGCCUCCAUUUCUUUGUGUGUGGAGCCCAUAAGGCAAACGGCUUUCUUACCUCCCUCCUUGCCAACAGACACAGAGACACUCCAGAUUCUAGUGACUUCUCUGCUAAUGCAACAAAAUAGCUUCAACUACCUGCUGUUUUGCAGAUACUGAAACCCCCUCCAGAUGGGAAAAUUUAAUGAUUAAUGACGUUAUGCUGCCCACAAGCAUGUAGACCCCAGUUGGAACCUGAAGGUUGAUAAUGGAGACUCCUACUUACCUCACCACCAAUUCGUCUGAAGAAAGUCCAAGAGCUGAUCACAUGCUCUUUGAACCAUUACUAUAAAACUUCUCGCUGUCCUGUCCAAGUUGGGACACAUAGUUUUUAGAGGCAAGAGUAUGCUAUAUACCCCUUUUCCUGGCAAAGAAAUAAAGCUAUCCUCUUCCAUUAAAAGAAGUCCCUUGCAUGUACAGGCCUAAGCUCUCGUUUCUUCCUGAUGUUGAGAAUCUGCACAAGCACGCUUUCCUGGUUGACAUGCUGUGUGUAUUGUUACACACUGAUGCUGGAAACAGUAAUGCUAUCCUGACUCCAUGAUGAGAUGCUAUGUUUUUCUGAACUUUGCCCUCUGUAUUUUUCCCUAAUUUUAAUCUGUAUUUUUCCUUGUAAUAAACUGUAAUCUUGGGG